CCCUUAGAUGUUCUGGGCCGCACGCGCGCUACACUGAUGAAUUCAACGAGCUCCUAACCUAGGCCGAAGGGUCCGGGUAAUCUUUGAAAUUUCAUCGUGAUGGGGAUAGAUUAUUGCAAUUAUUAAUCUUCGACGAGGAAUUCCUAGUAAGCGCGAGUCAUCAGCUCGCGUUGAUUACGUCCCUGCCCUUUGUACACACCGCCCGUCGCUCCUACCGAUUGAAUGGUCCGGUGAAAUGUUCGGACCGCGACAAGGCGGACGGUUCGCUGUCAGCUUUGCUGCGGGAAGUUCAUUAAACCUUAUCAUUUAGAGGAAGGAGAAGUCGUAACA
rnacentral:rRNA from 1 species